GUCCUUUAGAAUUUAAUUGAAGGUCUGACCUGCCCAGUGAUUAAUUUAACGGCCGCGGUAUACUGACCGUGCAAAGGUAGCAUAAUCAUUAGUCUUUUAAUAGAGGGCUGGAAUGAAAGGUUUAACGAGGAAUUGACUGUCUCAUCUUAUUUGUUUUAAAAUUUAAUUUUUUAGUUAAAAAGCUGAAAUUUUAUUGGUAGACGAGAAGACCCUAUAGAUCUUUAUAAAUAAUUGUGUAAUUAUUUCUAUAUUAACACUUUUAUUCAAUUAUUUAUUUUGUUGGGGUGACAAAAACAUAUAAAUAACUUUUUUAUUUACAAAACAUUGAUUUAUGAAUAUUAGAUCCAUUAUUAUUGAUUAUUAGAAUAAGUUACCUUAGGGAUAACAGCGUAAUCCUCUUCCAGAGUUCAUAUUUACGAGGGGGUUUGCGACCUCGAUGUUGGAUUAAGAUAAUAGUUAGGUGUAGCCGCUUAAUAUAUAGGUCUGUUCGACCUUUAAAUUCUU
rnacentral:rRNA from 1 species